UACGGAGGGGGCAAGCGUUGUUCGGAAUUACUGGGCGUAAAGGGCGCGCAGGCGGCUGCUCAAGUCAGGCGUGAAAGCCCUGGGCUCAACCCGGGAAUUGCGCUUGAGACUGGGCUGGCUUGAGUGCGGGAGAGGAUGGUGGAAUUCCCAGUGUAGAGGUGAAAUUCGUAGAUAUUGGGAAGAACACCGGUGGCGAAGGCGGCUCACUGGCCCGGUACUGACGCUGAGGCGCGAAAGCGUGGGGAGCAAACAGG
rnacentral:rRNA from 1 species